rnacentral:rRNA from 1 species
UACGGAGUGUGCAAGCGUUACUCGGAAUCACUGGGCAUAAAGGGUGCGUAGGCGGCGCGGUAAGUCGGGUGUGAAAUCUCGGAGCUUAACUCCGAAACUGCAUUCGAUACUGCCGUGCUUGAGGACUGGAGAGGAGACUGGAAUUUACGGUGUAGCGGUGAAAUGCGUAGAUAUCGUAAGGAAGACCAGUGGCGAAGGCGGGUCUCUGGACAGUUCCUGACGCUGAGGCGCGAAGGUCAGGGGAGCAAACGGG